GUACCUGCUACGGCAGUACAUAUACUAAAAUUGGAACGAUACAGAGAAGAUUAGCAUGGCCCCUGCGUCAAGGAUGACACGCACAAUCGUGAAGCAUUCCACUUUUUC
rnacentral:snRNA from 1 species